ensembl:lncRNA
GGCUAGGGGUCUAAUCGGAGCCAUAGCUGCCGGCCUACACCACAGCCAUAGCGACGCCAGAUCCAGGCCACUUCUGUGACCUACACCACAGCUCAUGGCAACACUUAAUUCUUAACCCACUGAGCAAGGCCAGGGAUCAAACUUGCAUCCUCAUGGAUACAGGUUUGUUAACCGCUGAGCCACGAUGGGAACCCCAUAGCUCCACAUUCAGAAUAUGACAUAAAACAUAACAAAUACACACAGCUGACUGCAAAAGAGAAGGAAACCCCAGCUGCCAGAAACGAAGAGAAAACAGAGUGGUAGGCGGAGGCGGAGGGGCUGAGAGUGGCUCCGACCUGCAGAUUAUCCUCUUGGUUCAGAGCCUCACCAGUGCGCUCUGGGACUUGAACAGCGAGACGUAACCUGAAAUUCAGGGAAGGUGGGACCGAAACCUCUGCAGCAAACAGACCCUGGAGGGUAUUGCAGCCUCCGGAAGGCAGAAGCCAAGCUCUGCACAGCAGCCUCAGGGCUGCAAACAGCUUCUGAACAUGAGGGGAAAGGAAGAUUUCCUUGAGAAAGAAUUGAAAUGUGCUUUAUAUUUAUAGUCUUGCUCUCACAGUAUCCAAGCUUAGCUUAAAAAUGACUUGUGAGCAGCUCCCUCAUAUGCUGGGCACAAUAAGGUGCUGGCAGUACAGCCACAGAACAGAGUUCUGCCCUCUUGGUGCCUCUCUUCUAAUGUCACUAAGAAAAAAAGUUACUAAUGUAUACGUCAGACACCCUUGAUAAUUUUGAAGCUACAAACAGGAGUAAGCUAGAAUAGAGCAUAAAAGAGAUGGAAAAAAAGGAAAGAUUUAACAUGUGGAAGUUCCAGUCUACAUAUAUAUUUCAGGAAUUGCAAGCAGGAGAAAAGAGAAUGGGGGAUGAGGCAGUUGUGAACUCACCUAGGCUAAUGUAUUCAUGUAUAAACAGUGGUACCCACGGACUGCACCCCCCACACACACACUCCUGCCCCCAGAUCACCUCCUCACAGCCAGGGUAUAAUGAGAAUGAUUUUACACCAGCUUCAGUCACUACACAGAUACAACGAAGCAAGAGAACAGGUCUUACUCCCUGUUCUCCAGGCUUAAGGAGGUUGUUCUCUGCCCUUUGAGAUGCUCUCGCCACCACCUGGCCUGAAAGCUUCCUUCAAGAAGCAGAGUUCAGUUGCUCUUAACGAAGCCUGUGUUCAUGGCUGGGCAGAGGUCCUUUUAGGGGAUUAUAUUAGAACAUCCUCUCAAGGGUAAGGACUACAGAUCAAGCUGGAUUCUUUGACUUGUUCUGGCAAGUGUGGGCUGUGCAAAUCCAGUUUUAGCCAAUCCAUAUAAUGGAAGUCUUUAACCAUUGGGGGCCAGUUUUCGAAGUUCAUCGUUCUAGUUAACAGACCACUAAGUCUACUAAUAAAAAUUGCUGACAUUUAGUAUUAAAUUAGCAAAGCAUUAUAUGAUGGUCAAGAAGCAGACGGCAGUACCUAGAAACCUUUCCUCUGAAUUAGGAAUUCCCUAGAGCGCGAGGUGAUCAUCCUGGCCCAUACUUCCUUGAUCAGAAUGCUAGCAGGACCUACGUGAUGACUACAUGAGCAACAGUGCCCACAUUCCAGAUGAGGAAGAGGAGCAAGGGCAAGAUACACUCCAAAUAUGAUAACAGAGUUAAAGACCUACCAGAAAAAAUAAUAAUUUCUAUACACUGGAAGAAAUGUUGAAGGAUAUUCUUCAGGCAGAAGCAAAAUGACCCAGAUGAAGUCCAGAAAUGCAGGAAUAAAUGAAAAGCAAUGGAAAUGGUAAAUGUGUGUGUAAAUAUAAAUGUUAGCUAAAACUAGGAUUUAAAGUAUUUGUAGAGAUAAAAUGCAUCAUAUGUAAUCAAAAGACAAGGAGAGUAAAUGGAGUUAGUGCUCUCAGGUUCUAGCAUUUGGUGAUUGGUAGAACUGCUACUGCUAGUCGAUUGUAAAGGAAGUAUGUUAUAAUCUCUGAGUUAAGUUAAACACCAAAAUAACAAUGGAAUGUAUGUCUAAUGAUAGAGGGUAAAGUAUAAGAAGACAAGAAUGGAAGAGGGAGCAUAAAACUGGGUAGAUUUUUAAAUUGCAAAAUAUAAACCCAAACACUUUAAGUGAUUCAACUUGAAUUAAAGUUGAAAAAAUUAUAGCCGAGUCAAUCCCACUACAGACUUCUUACGAGAGAUACAACUAUACGAUCACAAAAAAGUUGAAAAUAAGUGCGUAGGGAGAUAUAUUAGGGACAAACAACCAAAAUGGAAACAACGUGACUGGUUUUAUCAGGCAAAGACAUUUAAAGCAAAAAGCAUCACUAGAGAUAAAAAGGACACUUUGUAAUGGUGAAAGAAGCCAUGCAAACCACAUAAUCCUAAAUGUGUAUAUGCCCAGGAUGAAUGUAAACUAUAUAAAGCAAAAAUGGUAUGAGACGGGAAAUAAGUAAAUCUCCAACCAUAGUUAGAAACUUUUGCGUAGAUUUUGCAAUAGCUGGCGGAAUAUUCAGACCAAAAGGAAAAAGCUCAGAUUGCAGAUGAUCUGAACAAUGCAGUCACUAAACUUCAACUAAUUUAUGUAUGUUGAACAUUUGAUCAAAAAGGCAUAAUUCAGUUUCUUUAUGUAAACAUGAAUGAUCGGCCAGCUAUCAAGGUUGACUCUGUGCUGAGUCAUAAUGCAAACCAGACUACAAAUUGCAACAGAUCAAGAGCCUUCAUUCUUUAUUUCCUAACACUGGAAUUAAGCUGGAAACCAAUAACAAAAAGAUGGCUAAAGAAACUCCCAACUGGAGUUCUUUUGUGGCACAGCAGGUUAAGGAUCUGGCAUUGGCAUUGCAGCAUCCCAGGUUGCUGCUGUGGCCCAGCUCCCAUCCCUGUCCUGGGAAGUUCCACAUACUGCAGGCAACUCCUGCCCCCGCGCCCCCCCCAAAAAAAACCCAACUGCUUGGAAAUGAUGUAGUACGUUUUGAAACACUCUGGGUCAAAAAAAUGUUUUUUUAAUGUUUUGAGUGAAGAGUAACAAAGAUACCAAAAUUUGUUGCAGCUGAAGCAAUGUAUGUAGGGAAAUUUCUAGCAUUAAGUACAUAUAUUAAAAAAGAAGCAAGUGGGAUGUUCCCUGACGAUGUAGUGGUUGGGAUUUGGAGCUUUUACCGCUGCGGCCCUGGUUCUAUCCCAGGUCUGGGAACUGAGAUUCCAUAUCAAGCCACUGCACUAUGUGGCAAAGAAAAAAAAAGAAGCAGCAAGGCUGAAAAUCAGUGACCUAAACUCCUAUUUUCAGGAAGCUAGAAAAAGAAUAAGGAAAAAUAAAAGAUCGGAAGUGAAUGAAAUAACAUAGUUUAUUUAUGAGAAGAUCAACAAAGCCAACAAGUCAGAUCUUUGAAGUACAAUAACAACAACCAUUACUGUUUAACAUUAUAUUUGAAAUCCUAACCAGUAAAAUAAGGCCUGAAGUAAAGGCAUCAGUUUUGAAAGGAGGAAAUAACACUAUUGAUAGACAGCCAGCAUUGUGCAUAGAAAGUGCAAAAGAAUCUAUGAACAAAAUAAUUUAUCAAGGUCGCUGGAUACAAAGUAUACAAAAACCAAUUGUAUUUAUAUCAGAAACAAAUAGAAAUUGAAAUCGUUAAAAUGAUGCAAUUUACCCUCGCAUAAAAUAUCAGAUACCUAAAGAUAAAUUUUUGAAAGAAAAUCAUAACCUUGAGAGAAACUUGAAAACAUGUAAAUAAAUGCUUAGAUUGUUAUCUAGCUGUGACUGUAAAGUUGGUUGGCGCAAGGAUAGACAAAUAGACCAAUGUUACAGGAUGCGUAGGCACAGAUCUGCAAACACAGAUCGUCUGACUUAGAACUGAUGGACACCAUUGCGAUGGAUGAAAUGAUGGUCUUUCCAAUAAAAAAUUAUCUAGACCCCCUCCCUCACACAAGACAGAAAAGUCAGUUCCAUAUGGAAUAUAGCCUAACUGUGAAAGGGGAAAUAAAUGAAACAGGAGAUUAUAUUUUGGGAUAGGCAACAAAGGACAUAAAAGCAUAAAGGGGAAAAGGUUUUCAGCUAAUCUGCGAUGAUGAAAUCAUGAUAGAGGUUGUCCCUAUCCUGGCAGAUCUUUUUUCCA